UAUUAUUCAUACACAGUAAUGUGAAGCAUGCUCAUAUCUAGUAUAACUGGACCAACCUGGUGCUCUUCAUUUAUGGAGGCUGUUGAGUCUGAAUGUUGGAUGUUGUGUAUCUCGUGUUCUCUGGGCUUUGUUGUCCUCAGUCUUUUUGCAGGAUCAGAAAACAAAACCAGGAUGACCGUAAAUGUUUCUUCUCCAAUUGGAUGAUGAUAAGACUGUGACACGGGAUGCCACCUUUAGUCUUGUGAUGAAGCAAAGCUCAGGAAGAAGUGUGAUUAAAUGGUACCCACAUGUGUGCUGCUGAGAAGGAUGUACAGGGGCACCUGCAGCCAAAUCCAAGCCUCCUCAGCAACUUCAGGUCUGUCAGCGUGCUGAGGUCACAGAAACAAGAAAAGCAGCUUCAGACUUCAGAGUGUUGUUUACAGUUUUCUGUCAUCAUGAUCUCCCCUGAAGUUUAUCACUAUUAGGCAAGCAAGCAGAGCGGCAGUUUGUGCUCACAGAUGGUGACGGUGUGGAGAGACGGUGGUGUUUCCUCAGAAGAACUAGCAGAGUCACAAAGGGCACGAGUCUUUCUCACCACCUUGACUUGUUGAUCAGUGGAUACACUUGUCUCCCCUUUAAAGAAGAUACUCUUAGAGAGAGACGAUCAGAGUCAUCCUUAAAUAUGGGAAGGAUAUCACUAUUAGACUGUCUAACCUGCAGGAGCAGCACUGAAUGAUCACCACACAUGAUCAGUUCCUGCAACAUUCAGCAUCUGAUCUGCCAUCUGUGUGCUUCUGCUUUUGUGUCAAAUGUCAAACAGCUGGAGAGGAAACUACACCAGUGUACUGGGAUGUUUCAGCAACACGUGCCAGACGCUGUUCCUUCAUGGUGACAUCACCAGAGACGGCCCCGCCCACCUCAUGACCUCGCCAUUGAUCAUGAUGAUUUUAAUGAUGACAGCGAGCGGAACUAAGACUGUAAAAAUCAGAAUGUUUAGAUGCUUUCUAUUUAUUCAUGAAUACUGAGAGCCUCUUUCUGUGUUUUGUCUGUUUUGUUUUUUUUUACCUCAUUUGUUACUAACAAAGUUCACCAAACUCACACAGUUUACAUUCUGUAUGUUUCCAUCUUUACCAGCCACAGUCUACCUGCAAUUAAGAAAAUAAUCCUUACAAAUUGUCGUUUUUCUCUUUUGUAAUUUUGUAAUUCAGUGAAUAUACUGCGCUGCGUCUCACAUUGCUUUAAGUUUUUCCAGUGUCCAGUUAUUUUUUACUGUUGUUUGAACUCUCUGCAUGUUUGACCCUGUAGACUGUUUGAUGGACUGCU